AGGUCAUCUAGUGCAACUCCCAGAGAUAAGAGUGGUAGUUAGAUGGGCUCUAAUCAGGAAGGUGGCAAAGAAGGCUGAGUUCCUGAGCCCUGCGGUUGUCUACAUUCACUUGAAGAAGUGGAUACUUUUCUUCCCUUAUUUGUUUCUUUUUUAAACUUAAGGUGGUAUGAUAAAAUUUUUUUCCCAACUGGCAAAGAGAAAAUGAAGAGGGAAUGGAAAGAUUUUCAGCUAAGUUCAGAGCCAUAACUACGAAUUUCUCAGAUACAGAAACGCUGCUUCUUCAAGUAGAAAAAAGAAAUCUGUGUGACUGUAUAACUGCAAACAUGCUGAACUGAGUGUUGGAUUACAGCCAGAGGAGUGUCACCUGUUCAAUUGUUUAUAAAAUGCUGCUGUAUAUAAUACAGGCAGUUUUAUGGAGUUCAUAUUGCAAGCAUGUAAGCCCCAGUGUACUGAGAAAAGUGGGGGGUUGUGUCUUAUGCUUGUUUUCUAUAGUUCUCUCUGUUUUCACAUCUUCUGACCUGCUGUUAAGGGCUCAAUUCACUAAACCAGUUGCUUGUUAGUGGAGUGGGGAGAACCUGUUUCCUUUGAUUAAACCAAGCAUAACCCACAGAACAAGUGUGAUGUGGAGAGUUUUGCAGUGUAGCCUGCAGCAGACUUCAUCUCUACUAUGGAAGUGCCACCACUGUGGCUAGGCUAGUCAUGAUGAGCUAAAGCACUGAGUGUUUUUAAGAGGUUUUUAAGACCUGGCUAGACAAAGCCUUGGCUGGCAUGAUCUAGUUGGGGAUGGUCCUACUUUGAGCAGGGGUUGGACUAGAUGACCUCCUGAGGUCUCUUCCAACCCUCAUUUUCUGUGACUCCAUGGCUAUGCUCGGAUCUGUGGCCAUUGAAGGCUCCACCUCCAUUUCAGAGGUGAUAGAAGCUGUUGUCCACUUUCUUUGCAAUGCAAAUUAGGGUGAAACUCAGCCAUGUUAUAACUCCGCAGACUUCAGUGGCAUUAUACCUACUUACACUGGGAUUGAGUUUAGCCCUUAACAAGCUUUGGUUUUCCUGGGAAGCUGUUACCUGGUCUGGUAAAGUAAUAGCUGCCUUGAUUGUAAUUAUGUACCGUCACUACCUACUUAUCACCCCUAUUCAGUCCCCAUCACUUGUAUAAAUACCUAUUUUAACAACCUACAUAACUGGUACAUAUAAGAGGGCAAGGAAAAAAUAACUUGAUGGAGCAGGGAACUCCACACCAAAUUCCCACUGGUAGGAAUGGGAGAAAGGAGUCAUAUUGUCUGUCAUUACCACUAACUCUGUGCAGUGUUUCUUCUCACUGGGACACGGCAUUUCCCACUUGUAUGCUCCCAUGGAGAUAAGUAACAAGAUAUUGAAGUGGCAACUCCUGAAUAGCAAGCUUUAGUAGAUAUAUAAAGCAUCAGAUGAGGAAAGGGGCUGUUUCAGUUUAUGAGGGGUUUAUCUGACAUAGCUGCCUCAGGUAGCAGGGAACUGGAUUCAGUGACCUAGGAGGUCCCUUCAAGUCCUGUGUUCUUAUAUCGCCUGUGCUGCAGGUACAGUUUUUCCCCAUGAUCAUUGCUCAGUAUUUUCUUUGCACUCUGCAAAUCUUGCAUAUUUUUAAAAAUAUGAAAAAGGAAGUGGAAAGGAUAGAAAUAAUUCAUUUAUGCAGGCUUAUUUAUUUAGCUGCUUCUCCUUCAGUCCAUCCUAUAACACCCCACUGCUAGGUCUCCUUCUAGAAGUAGAAUAAUUUACACCCAACCCCCCCACUAACCACUGCCCAACAUUGCUGUAUGUUUAACAAAGCAUCUGUUUUUUCCCCCCCUUUUUCAUCCCUCCCCAGGUUUUUGUGUUAACAUCUCAGCUUGACACUAUGCAACUGAGUUGGAAUAGCUCUGUUAAUUGAACUGGAAAGUGCCAAACACACUUUGGGGUUUUAUAAGCCUGGUAAAUAAUAAUCACCAUUGAAACCAUACUUGCCCAGUGCUGUAGGUUCAUUACAAAAAUGAUUUGAUAAUACACAAGCACAAAAAUGGACCCUUGUCUGCAAUUUAAUCUCCCCUGAGCCAGGCAAAUGCAUGUUUCUUUCCUUUCAGGCAUGAAGAGGUUCUGCAUCCAUAUUCUACCAGCUUGUCUUUCUCAUGGUUACUUGAUGGGAGUGGGAAUGUAGAUGUGCAUAGACCUGGAGAAAUAACUGAGCUUUAAGCCUUGAUUUGGAAGAGGAAAGGCGUGUAGGACAAGAUCCACAAAGGAAUUCCAAGGUGUGGGUGUCAUGAAGCAGAAGAUGCAAAGCUCUACGGUUGUUAAAGAUAAUGCCCCACAAUAAAAAUGUUAUUUUAUAAAAUGAUCUUUUACACUGUGGAGCAGGUGCUGUGGUGAACAUGGUUUAGAGGACCAGUUUAGAAACCUCUGAGGCCCCAGUAUAGCACUGUUUUCUGAAGUCUGCUCUGAGCAAUGCACUUGCUAGAAACCUACCAACACAUCAGUAUGUCUACAUAAGUCUUGAGCUCUUUCUUUUCUUUGAUCGAGUUACAUGAUACGGCACUUGGACUCUCACUUAAGUAGCCAUUCAGUAGCAAACCCAUGUUACAUUAUUUUUUUCUUUGCCAAUAAAGUCUGAAAAUGGAACGGUGCUGAAAACUCACUCUGUAUGCAAGUCUCACUUUUUUGAGUUACCAUAUCAACUGGAAAGAAUGCUGACUUGUUUGUUAUACAACUCUUGCUGCACCAUAAGGUUAGUAGGAUGCAUAUUUCGAGAGAGACUCGCAUUAAAAUUCUUUUCUUUGAA